GAUGAACGCUAGCUACAGGCUUAACACAUGCAAGUCGAGGGGUAACGAGAGGGAAGCUUGCUUUCCUUGUCGACGACCGGCGCACGGGUGAGUAACGCGUAUCCAACCUGCCCCCAACUAGGGAAUAACCUUGCGAAAGUAAGACUAAUACCCUAUAAUUUCCUCAGAUGUCAUCUGACGAGGAAUAAAGAUUUAUCGGUUGUGGAUGGGGAUGCGUCUGAUUAGCUUGUUGGCGGGGUAACGGCCCACCAAGGCAACGAUCAGUAGGGGCUCUGAGAGGAAGGUCCCCCACAUUGGAACUGAGACACGGUCCAAACUCCUACGGGAGGCAGCAGUGAGGAAUAUUGGUCGAUGGGCGGAAGCCUGAACCAGCCAAGUAGCGUGCAGGAUGACGGCCCUAUGGGUUGUAAACUGCUUUUAUACAGGAAUAAAGUUAGCCACGUGUGGUUAUUUGUAGGUACUGUAUGAAUAAGGACCGGCUAAUUCCGUGCCAGCCGCCGCCGUAA
rnacentral:rRNA from 1 species